rnacentral:lncRNA from 1 species
GCCGCAUAAAAUUCAAGGAAUUGGUGCUGGUUUCAUCUCAGCCGUCCUCGAUCAAAGCAUCCUGGAUGGAGUUCUUCAAGUAAGGCUGUAUACCAUAUAAGUAGCUCUGAGAUUCUACAAACAUUUAAAUUUCUGCUCAAUGUGAGUGAGAUUUUGCUAUAAAAACCUGAAUAUCUUACAAAUGACUCUAACCAGGUGAUGAAUCUGCUAUACUCUGACUGACAAUUUCAAUUCGGUUAAUAUAAAACUAACGCAUUCACGACUCACAGAAGCAGAGAUAUGAAGUAUGCGAACAUAGACUAGAUUGCUUUGUAGGGUAAAGUUAGAUAUAUCCUUUUGUUGACAGAAUUGUCUGAAUCUCCAGAAUAAUCGUGGCUUUUCAAUGUAAAAGUUUCCAGCUUACUCUAUCUCUGAAACAUAUCCAUCUGAUUUAGUUUAUUAACAGAUCAAAGUAAAUUCAUUAUAGGUUUUCUUAUUUUCCAUGUUUGGUUGGUCAAAAUUUUUGGUAAACAUUUUGUUUAGGAAAACAAGUUGCUUAAAAAUAAGGAGAACGACUUUCCUAAUGGAAUUAGGGAAAACAAGUUUCACAAGUGGUAUUCUAUAUUGAGUGUGUCCUGUCCUCCCCACGCUCCAACACACCUCAUCUUCACCCCAACCUCCAUAGCCCCCAGCCUCACCACCCCACACUAUUACCUGUCUCACUGCCCAUAGUAUUUGACUUAGAUUAUAUACAAAUGGUUUUAGGAUAGUAUACAUACCGAGCACAAGAAAAUUAGUAAGAAACCACUUAUUUUCCUUCCUUUAUACCGAACACACCCUUAGUGUCCUCUUGUAUGUUUCUAAAGCUGUUGAUUUUUUGGUUCACUGGCUAUAUUUCCUGGUAUGAUGGCAGCUUCUGCUUUUAUUUAUGUUCAGGUAUCUAGUGAUGAAGCUAUUGAAAUGACAAAGCUUCUUGCAUUGAAAGAAGGCCUGCUGGUAAGUUCACCCGUCAAUAAAGAUCACUUCUGCAUGUGUCCUCUGCUUCAUUUGUGAUGUCCGUUCUGAUAUCAUUACGAUUAUAUGCCCUUUUUCUCCUGGAAUAUUUUCAGGUAGGAAUAUCAUCAGGUGCUGCAGCUGCUGCAGCAAUUCAAGUAGCAAAAAAGCCAGAAAAUGCUGGGAAACUUAUUGCGGUAAGUUAGAUCUACUUCAUUAAGCUUAUUGAUAUCUAUUUCAUCUCUUAACUUGGGAAUCCUUGAUGAGUUCAUGGUUCCAAUUUUGCAAAUGAACUUUGGCCUAAACUUCUCUUUCAAUUCUCUGUGCAGGUCAUCUUCCCUAGUUUUGGGGAGCGUUAUCUUUCCACUGUGCUGUUUGAUUCUAUUAGAGAAGAGGUGGUGAACAUGACUUUUGAGUAACUUAAUGCUUCUUUAAACUGAGGGAUACAUGUUUACUCCUAUUUGUUGUAACUUGAGAUGGGAAAGAUCACUCAAGUGUAACCCCCUAAUAAAUCAGUGAACUAUUAUUAAUUCGCAAUACAAAUAUUUGUAUCUUUUGAAUGGUGUAACCGCUGUUUCUAUAUAUUUAGCCCUUCGUUCAGCCAACAAACAAGUAGGAUUUUUCAAUGGCAUAGUUAAUUGAGAAAGGCUUAAUUCCAUCAUGUAGCGUCGUCAAACAAACGUAUUAUUCUUUCUAUCGUUUGCAUAUAUAAUUGGGCUCUUAAGCAGUUUAAGGUAUGUAAUGUCAACGAUUUUGAAAUUGUUCUAAAAAAAACUCACUUUUUUGUCAACUGGACUAUAGCCUAACCAUAAUCCUUAUAUUUCAGAAUGGUCCACAUAUAAUUAUUACAAUGUCUAUAUAUUUAUAGUGUUUGGUCUAAAACUAAGGAAGUACUUGACUUUAGAACUAAAGAUCAAAUAGUGCUUCUUUAAAAACUCUUUAAAAAUGAAAUUAGUUGAUUAAAAAGAAUACUUAAAAUACAUUACGUUUUAAAAAAAAAAAAAUACAUUACGUAUUAAUUUUUACGAAAUUAAAAUAAAUAAAUAUAUAUAGGUUCGGAUUCAACAUGUGUACAUAGAAGGUAAUACUUUGGCUGAUUAUUUAGCUAAUUUGGCUUUUGAUAAUCUAGGUAGACUUGUUUAUAAUUCUUUUAUAGAAUUACCAAGACAGGCUAGGAAAAUCGUAAACCUAGACAAGCAACAUUUUCCUACGUUAAGAAUCAGAACAAAGAAAAUAGAUCAAAAGAGGGAUGGGGGACAAGAAAAUGCAGUGACAUUGAUCACAUGAGAACUACCAGAAUUAUAAGCAACAUAUCAAACAUCGAGAAUAGUACAAUCCAAGAUACUCAAAUGAGUCACACGUGUCGAUUUUCAAAGAAGUUGAUCUCAACUAACAAUUUCAUCAACAAUAUUAUAGAACUUUACAGAUCUAGUGGCAGAGCUUUACAAUGCAAAAAAGGGAUACAAUUUUUAUUAGUACAAGAAGAGAUGAUCAUAAGUCGAUUUAGAACUUACAAAGGAAGGUUCUGCAGCAAAACGUUACGGAAAAAUAUUUUUGAAUGGCUGAGUUCAUGGCAACAACCUUUGCACUUCAAGGAAGACGGACAGUUAGAGGAGGAAGAUAGGAAGAGCAAUCAAGGUUUAGAGGGAAUAAAAACUCACCAUUCUUUGGUCUGGUCUCGGAUGGAAUUUGAUGGAGACUUCCCAAAUUUGCAGAAAAAGAGGGCUAUUUAGAGCUUUCCUAGUAGACUUGCCC